GCGAGCAAACGGAGAAAAGAGAAGAUUAACCAACAUCACACCAGCCAGGCAGCCAGCUAGCCAGAAGCAGCACCGGUCGAGUCAGAUCCGAUAUAGAAGCGACGAAGGAGAGCCAUCACAAGGAAAAAACGCGAUUCUACCAUCCAUAUUCUGUUCCGCGCAGUUUGACAAAGUGAAGUAGAAAUUGUUGCAGCUCUAUUCGUGAUUUACGGCGUUUAUACCGAGGAAAUUGGUGUGGAAAUUUUUUGCCAACGGUUUGUAGAACAGCUUGCGACAAAAAUUGCUACGGGACUUCACCGUCCUGCAGCUUAAAAGCUGAAGUGAAAAACGGCCUUUCCAUUUUUUUUUGUAAGCUGUAGGUGAGUUUUGUCUAAGCUGGAGCCAUCACGACAUUGAAAGGAAGUAGUGAAAAAGGACAUACAUCGUUCGAUACAUUGCGAGUGCUGUGCUCGUCAGAAAACCACGUCCAAGUCUCGGCUUUCGGGGGUUUGAAAAUCCAGAAAUUUCGCAACUCAGCAAUCGUAAUUGGUGUUUUCGGAACCAUUUUGCACAAUGCAAAUCGUGCACGUCCUCGAAAAAACUGUCUCACCAGACAGGGAUGAGCUGCUGGCAGCAAAAAACUUUUUGGAACAGGCAGCCCAAACCAACCUUCCAGCUUUCCUCCAAGCACUUUCCGAUGUGCUUGUAUUUCCCGGCAACUCGCCGGUGGCUCGUAUGGCCGCCGGUUUACAGCUGAAAAAUCAACUUACCAGUAAAGAUGUUACCAUUAAGUUCCAAUAUCAGGAACGGUGGCGGUCAUUUCCUGAAGACGUCAGAGAGUACAUAAAAAAGAAUAUCUUGGGCUCUCUGGGCACCGAAACAACUAGACCAUCUUCGGCGGCACAGUGCGUUGCAUACGUAGCGGUAACGGAGCUGCCUGUGAAUCAAUGGCCAAAUCUUAUGCAAAAGUUGGUAGAGAAUGUUGUCAAUGAGAAAUCCACGGAAAUGGAACGAGAGGCAACUCUCGAAGCUAUCGGUUACAUUUGUCAGGAUAUCAACUCCGAAAUUUUGGAACACCAAUCGAAUCAGAUCCUUACGGCAAUCAUUCACGGUAUGCGUAAAUCCGAACCGUCUAACCACGUUCGACUGGCGGCUACUAAUGCAUUGCUUAAUUCCUUGGAGUUUACCAAAGCCAAUUUUGAAGAAACGGCCGAACGUAACUAUAUCAUGGAAGUAGUCUGUGAAGCUACACAAUGCAAUGAUCCGCAAAUCUGCGUAGCUGCUUUACAGUGUUUGGUGAAAAUACUCACUCUGUAUUACCAGCACAUGGAGGCCUACAUGGCUCAGGCAUUGUUUCCUAUCACUUUAGAGGCCAUGAAAUCGGACAACGAACAGAUAUCGCUCCAAGGUAUUGAAUUUUGGUCCAACGUUAGCGAUGAAGAAAUUGAUCUAGCGAUUGAGGCCCAAGAAGCUGCAGAAGCAGGGCGGCCUCCACAUCGUGUUUCCCGUCACUACGCUAGAGGUGCGCUUCAGUUCCUUGCGCCGGUUCUAAUGGAAAAGCUUACUCGACAAGAAGAAUUUGACGAUGAAGACGAUUGGAAUCCGUCCAAAUCGGCCGGAGUAUGUCUGAUGUUGUUGGCCACCUGUUGUGAGGAUGAAAUAGUACCACAUGUAUUGCCGUUUGUGAACAAUAACAUAAAAUCUGAAAAUUGGCGUUACCGAGAUGCAGCUUUGAUGGUGUUUGGUUCUAUUUUAAGUGGUUUAGAAACCAACACUUUAAAACCCCUGGUUGAACAAGCUAUGCCAACCCUUAUUGAGCUUAUGUACGACCAGAGCGUCAUCGUGAGGGAUACAUGCGCUUGGACUUUCGGUCGAAUUUGUGAGGUGAUUCCCGAAGCAGCGAUAAAUGAACAGUAUUUGGAAACAUUAUUGAAUGCAUUACUGAACGGACUGAAAGCUGAACCACGUGUGGCCACUAACGUGUGCUGGGCAUUCAGUGGGCUGUCCGAGGCAGCCUAUGAGGCAGCUAAUGUUGACGAUGAUCCUCCACAAACGUACUGUUUGACAAAAUAUUUCGAUUUCAUCAUAAGCAGCUUAUUGGAAACGACAGAUCGUACUGAUGGAGCCCAGGCAAAUUUAAGAUCUUCCGCCUACGAGGCACUGAUGGAGAUGAUCAAAAAUUCCCCUCAAGAUUGUUAUGUAUCGGUACAGAAGACUACGAUGGUAAUUUUGGAAAGAUUGAAUCAGGUCCUACAGAUGGAAUCGCACAUUUCGACACACACCGAUCGACAUCAGUUCAAUGAUCUCCAGUCGCUGCUAUGCGCAACAUUGCAAUCUGUGCUACGAAAGGUUGAUGCUAAAGAUGCGCCUCAAAUUUCUGAUGCUAUUAUGACCGCUCUGCUCACCAUGUUCAACUCUAGCUCUGGAAAAGUUGGUGGCGUGCAGGAAGAUGCUUUAAUGGCUGUAUCCACAUUGGUUGAUCUGCUGGGUGAAGGUUUCAUUAAAUAUAUGGACGCUUUCAAAGAAUAUCUGUACAUGGGACUCAAGAAUCAUCAAGAAUAUCAAGUGUGCUGCACGGCCGUUGGGCUUGCUGGAGAUAUUUGCCGUGGUCUGAGGAGCAAUAUUCUUCCAUACUGCGACGAAAUUAUGACGCUUCUUCUGGAAAAUCUUAGCAAUUCGUCAUUGCAUCGCAGCGUUAAACCACAGAUUUUGUCCGUUUUUGGUGAUAUGGCUAUCAGCAUCGGUCCAGACUUCAAAAAAUACUUAACUAUUGUAUUGCAAAUGUUGAGCCACGCGACUCAAGUACAGGUAGAUCCGAAUGACUACGACAUGAUUGACUAUCUGAAUGAAUUGCGGGAGAGUGUCUUGGAAGCUUACACGGGAAUUGUUCAAGGACUCAAAGGGGUAGACAAAAUGCCUCACGAGGACAUUGCUCUACUACAACCGCAUGUUCCUCACAUUGUCGGGUACAUUGUUUCAAUUGCGAAGGAUACGGAACUGUCUGAUGCUAACAUUGCUAUAGCAGCUGGUCUGAUUGGUGAUAUGUGUUCGGCAUUCGGACAGCCGCUGUUACCUCUCUUGGAAGAUAUUCAAAUUCAACAGCUUUUGAAUGAGGGCAGAAAUUCUCGCACCAGCCGUACCAAAACUCUUACGAAUUGGGCCCUGAAAGAGAUUAAAAAAUUGAAAAAUCCUUCCAACGAUGCAAGUUGGCGACGAUGAACUGGUAGCUAGAGUUUGACACGAACAUUCACGAGAAUGAUUGCAUUGGUUUUGAUUGUAGAGAAUGUGUGCGUGAAUUUAGGACAUAGCUUGUUAUGUUUCAUGGUGUUGAAAGUGAUCCUGUGAAAGUGCAACGUUUCGGAAGGAUGAAUAGUCGCAUCUCCCCCGAUCAAAAUGUUAAGUAGCCAAAUUCUUAGUCUGCUUCGCCGAAGAUGAGAGGGUACUAUGCAGUAAUGAUGAAGCAAUAACCGGGGCAUGGUUUUAAGUUCGGAUUAAGAUUUCAUCCAGCAUCAAUGGCAACACCCUUAACUACUCCACGACCAACGGCAGUGGUGCCAACUCAGCAACCGGUACUGGAAACACCGUAUCAGCAAUGUAAUUUUAUCUCGUUUCCCAUCACCUCUAGUUUUCCAAGUCCCUGAGCAACACUCCAGUAGUAGUCUACAGCGAUCAUCACCGCUACAAAUUUUCGAGGCAGAUUUAGAGGUUAGUUCUUUCACAUCUCAGAACAAAGCACCUUACAUGUGGCAAUGCUACCCCGCUUAGGACCCAGAUAGUGCUUUUUUAGAGAUGAAUUUGGCGUUCAAACAUGUUGGCAAAAUUUAUUCUGUUUCGAUAACCUAUCUGGGCUCAGCGGCUCAGAAAUUUCAAACCAAAAUCGUGUGUCCCCUUUCUUUCUCUUCGUUAAUAAUACUUAUGUCUGUGAAACGUUGAUCUAUAGUACAUCCUAAAAAAAAUCAUCAGUUUAUUUUCGAACAGACUAAUGUCGCUGGCCGAUCCAGAUCACUGGGCAGGGGAGUUAGCUAUUGCACGUCACAGUUAAUCGUGUGCGGGCUGCGCACCAUUAAUAAACUUGUAAAAUUAUUCUCUAUAAGCUAAUUAACGUAAAUUAAUUAUUCAAAUCUAAGUAAACGAAACCCGAACCUAGAGCAAGCGAUUGCUGUAAGAAAUAUAUAAAUAAUACAAAUUUUUCUCGUAAACAUUUUCCCCAUUCAGGAAUGAUAGUGGAAGCGUGUGUGCCAUAGUGAAAAUACUGGAAUGAGACUAUUAAUGAGAGAAUGCUUCAAUGCUAAUAUGGAAAAAUUAAAUUGUUUUAUGUAGCUAUUCAAUGAUAAAUUUCUGGAAAAUGUUUCUCUUUCACCGUGGCACCCGUUUUACUCUGAACUAAGUAAAGAAGCAGAAACAAUCUAUAACUGCAAAAAGGCUUUGAGCCUACAUGAUGAACUCUUCUACAUAAAGGUACACAUAUAAGUCACCCAUAACGAAACAAAAAAAAAUGAUUAAAACAGAUUUAGCACUUAAACACGAACAUCUCUGUACAGUAAGAAAUCCUUAACACGGAAAAAUAUUUAAUUAACUAUAACUAUAAUAACAUGGAAGCGUCAUACCACCAAGUGAACAACAAUUUGAAAGUGAAUGAAACUGUUCUGAUUCGAAAAAAAAAAUAAAACAAUUUGGCAUUUACAAAGAACGAAAUUGCGAGUUGAUGUUUUUUUUUUAAACAUUUAUCCGACUUUUAAAAAUAGAUAAUAUUCAUGAAUAAAGAACAGUUUCUGAAACUUUAAUGAUCCUCUUUCUCUGCACUUGAAUUUUGUUCAGUCAAAACUUAACCAGGAGAAUAAAAUAAGAGAGAACAGAAAUUCAAUUGCAUAAAACAAAAAGAUAGGAAAAAAUCAAAGAAGCAGUGUAGAUUGAUCAUUAUUGAAAAUGAAAAUACAUAAAAUUAAGGUAAAAAAAACAAAAAAAAAACAGGCAAAGUCAUGCUACUGAACAGAUAAAAAAAAAAGAUUUGGUGUAUGUGCGAUGGUUGGAGUGGUUGCAAGUGUUUGAUGACUAAUUUAGAAUGAGAACAGUUUAUGUUAACUUUUAAGAUUUGAUUGUGUUGAGCUAGCUAGCUUUGCGAAAGUGAAAUGGGUUCGUCCAAGUUAGAAGCGAACUCAAUAUUGGUAUGUCAAUGGUUGGUGGUGGUAAACACAUGGUUGUAGGCUAAAGGAAUGGACAAAAUUGAUAGCGUGGUUUGUUGGCUUCCAUUUAUGAGCUUUCCGUUAUGUGAAUAAUUUGAAGUUGGAGAAAAGCUGAUAUGAUCUUUAGAUAAUAUAAUGUUAUUCUUCAAUCAGUUCAAGGAAAUAUAUUGUCCUAAACAUCAACAGCCUUUUCUUGAUAAAUCUGAUGUACCCAAUAAAUGCAUUUCUCUAGGAAUAUUUGGGAUAUACUUAUAAAAAUGUUUCUAAAAUACAUUUGAAAUCAGAUUAUACCUACAGCACUUCGGAAUAAAGUGUAACAUGAUAUAACUUUUAUUGGUUCAUUACUUUUAAUUAUUUUUGUAUUAUUUCUAAAGAGAAGAAUAACAUUUUAGACCCGCGAAGCGAGUGGCGUUUGGACCUGAAAUUCAGAUCCAAUCGUUGACUAACCAAAAAAGUUCAUCAUUUUGAACGGAAUAAAUGCAAGCCACUUGAAAAUGAUACUAAAAAAACAAAAUUUCAUGAGUGUUAACAUGAUGUUCUGUGUAUAGAGAAUAUGCUGAGAAUGUGUGAGAUUUGCGAGAAAUCUUGUUUACGAAUGUUCCUAUUUGAAAUGGUUUUUAAGGUACGAACGUGUGUGAGUCAUAUUGAUCUUAUAGAAAGCGUGUUCGAAAUCUGUAUUUGAAGUUAUGGAAUUAUAUCAAUCCGAAUACGGGAGUAUACUGCUGUAAAUGUAUGUAUGCGUAAUGACAAAAGAACUCUAACACUGAACACAUAAAUAAUUAAAUAACUGGUUUUUUACUUUACUUUUUUCCAAAAUUAUCUUGGAUUAGCCAUAGUGCAUAAAGUGCCUCCACAUAUGUUUGAACCUACUUGUCCUCAUAAUAAAAAUUAAGACUAUAUGCAUUUUUUAAGUUUUAAGUUGAUUGUGCAGAUACAGCUACAAAUAUACUUAUACUUUUUUUUUUCUUUCGAUGGCAUAGAAUUCUACAUAUCGGAUAUUAGAUACUAAUGCAAGCUUCAAUUUUUUUUCUUAAAUUGUACACUGAUCGCAGUUGUGACAAAUCGUUAGUUUAAAACGAAACCAAUAGUGACUUAACUCUGACGAAAAAACACGCAAAGUAAUUUGUACAGUAAAUGACGGUACACAAACAUAAAAAAUAACAAAAAUUUACACUAAUACAUGCGAAAAAUUGAACAAAGCUGAUGAAAUUAUUGAACAAUAAACAAUAAUAAUAAUAUUAAUAUAGAAAAGGAAUUUACUGAUGCAAACAAAAUGGCUAAAAUACUUUCAUUGUAAUCCAAAAUUGAUAUUUAAAUUCUUCAAUCACUUGAAACUUGGACAGGAAGCUAGAGACACGGGUGUGCUAAUUAGACUUCAGACAUCAAUGAUGGUUUUUCGCAAUUAAAUUCCUAUUAAGUUAAAAUCAAUAUGCGUAAUACCGAGCUCCAAAACUCGCUUGAUUUAAAUAACUGAUUUAGUCGAACUUAGGCGAGAUACUAUCUAGCGAAUCAAAAACACAUGCGAUUCUGGUUUCGACUGUUUGGAAAAAUCUAAUAAUUGCUAAAAAUAGCUAGAAUCCGAACUGUAAACAGUAGAAAGUAUUUGCCAUGCAUUAAACACAAUGAAUUAAUAAUAUGAAUAAAUGAAUAGCAAAUUGUGAAAAUUGAAAUCGACUUAACGACACUAUAAACUUAUUACCCACUCAUUGUAAUUUUUAGCAGAACAAACGAGUUCUAAAUAGUAAAGCGAAAGUUAUUUUUCUAAUUUUAUUGUAUUUGAAAUGACAAACGCAAAUCAAGAUGAUUUUUUAAAUUCAAAAUUAUAUUUAUUCAAAAAUAUUUGUUUAUUAUGAAUUGAAGCUUAGAGAACUUUGUUUAGUCAAAAUAAAACACGCUAAAUAAAAAAGAUAAAAUUUACCGAGAUAUAUAGGUAAUUCUCUGCCUCCUGAAGGUAAAAUUAACCUUUUUGAUUUCAAGAGCAGUUAAUUUUUUGUUUUUUUUUCUAUAAAUUUUAUAUUUUUUUUAUUUUGUUUUUUUUUUGUUGAAUAUUACACUUUGGCAGAAAAUCAUGAAUCAAAUUUUAUAUUUUCACUGUUUAGUCAAGUUAAGCUGUAUAAAAGAGAGCUCCUUUUAAAAACACGCUCUCCACAGCUUGCAAUUUUCUUUUUUGUGGGAUAUUAGAAACGAUGAACUAACACAACGUAUUAAUUCUUUUGCUACAAAUGGCAAGAACUUCGAAACCAAACAAUAAAAAAUAAUAACGAAAUUUGCUCAGGUACAUACAAAGAAACAACACAAAAAGGAAAAAACAAAGACUUACAAAAUUGAAACAAGAUACUGUGAAACGAGUGACUAAAUCAAACCAAAAAAAAAAAAACAAAACAAAAUAAUAAUAUAGAAAUCAAUAACUAAUGGAAUGAAAUGCACUAGACGAGAAGCGGACAUUUUUGCUAUAGAUCGGCCUUGGAAGUGUGGAUGUUGCUAUACUUCUCAUUCUCUCCACGUACGUCUUGUUAAAAAGGAUCAUAAUGAGGAGAGGAAAUAAAAUAACAUUAUAUGCGAAAGUAUUCUGAUCAAUAAUAAUUUUCGUCCUAUUAAAAUCUUUAAAAAUUUAGAUCAUCACUGGAACCAAAUCAAAUUAACGGUUUUUGUAUUUUUGCUUAAUAUAUCCUAUUUAUAUAUUUAUUUCUAUUUUUUUUUAAAUUCUGUUUUAUUGGAAACAAUCUCAAAUGUUUGUGAAAUAAAUCAUACUACUUUUGGGAAAAUCUUCGAGAAACACAAAAAUGGUAAAUGUUUCAUUUCAAGCUUUUCAUGCCUGACAGUAUCAUAUUAUUGGUAUAACGGUUCAAAAUUAUCUUAAAGUUGAAUUCUUUCAUUAUUAUCGUUUUUAUUAUUUUGUUUUUACAACAUAAAAUAAAUCCUUGCACUAAUGAUACGAAGAAAUACCAUUUAAUCGCAUUGAAUUUGGGAACUUCACAGAGCAUGGAAUUGUCAAGAUUUGUGUUCAGAUUUAUCUUUCGGAGGAAUGAUUAUUGGCUUAUGUUUUUUUUUACAUAUUUGAAGAAAAAAUGGAAAUGGCCGUUUGGCAAAAAAGUGAGAAUCACACAACUUCACAUAUAAAUACUUUUUUGAAUUUUUAGAAGAUUUGUAUUUAUAACAGUGAUUUGUUGUCCUAUUAUAAUAGGUUGAAUACAAAGGAUUUCUUAUGUUUUAAUUAAAAAAAAAAUCCGUUAGUGACAAUUCCGCUCAAAAUCCGAAUUUUUCAGCAGCUGGAUUGAAUAGUUUUAAAUGGUUAUAUUGAAAUUUAGAAAACAAGAAAAAAUCCAUUAGAAAGUAAGUAGGAAUUAUAUAAACAAUGAACUGCAACUGACUUACCUAAGACACAAACACUGAACUACCAAGUUGAACUAAGAAACAAACAAUAAUGAAAACAACUGUGAUUUGAGGAAGCUUUUUUGGCGAAAUGUAAAAAACCAACAUUUAAAAACAAUCAAACCGCCAUUUGGUAUCAGAAAAUCAAUAAAUAAAUGAAUACUUCUUGUACUGGGAAAAUGUAACAAAUAUACAAAAAAGCUUUCUCAAUAAAAACGACUGAUUUUAAAGGUACAUACCUAAACUAUGAAGAAGCCACGAUACUUGUGACAUACAAAACAUACACCUACACACAUGAGUGAUUGUAAGCGAUAAAAUAUCACUGCAAACUUGAUAAUUCGUCAAAACAUUGAAAUACAAUCUUAUUUUCUAAAGGAAAAAAAAUGGGAAGUCUCCAAAGGUUUUUGAACAAGGCAGAAAUCACAGCAUAUAAAACAUACGAAAAUAUCACAACCAACAAAAACAUUAUCAACGUUCAAUUUUGAAUUUUUUUUUCGAUAUAACUGAAAAUGAAAAUCAAGAGAAAAAUCAAAUUUUUACUAAGAGAAGAAGGAACUUUGGAGGUUUCAAAAUAAUUCGAUUUCUUACCGAGUAAUGAUUGUGUGCAUAAGAUUGAUUGUGAAGUUUCAUAUGCUCAACAUUGGUGAGACAUCAUUCCUAGCAUAAAUAACCAUAAUUCAUAACAAAUAACGGUAUGGAAGUAAAUUUCUACACGAAAACAUUGGCCAUAAAAUAAUCAGGAUGAAUCAAGUUGGGCUGUUUCCUUUUACUGCUGUGAGUUGGUUAAAAAUCAGCAAGAAUGUGAUAUGAAUGCACGGUUUAUCGGUGUUGUGUGUUAUCUCUACAAGAAACAAAAAUGAUUAUUUGUAAGCUAGCGCGUAUAAUAUUGUUUGGAAAACAAGAAAAACAUAUGCGAUUAUAAAUAUACACGUCUACAAACACAAGACACACACUAUACUUCGAAAUACAUACAUUGUAUGCUUCCAUGUGAGAAACAAGCAAAAUAAAAUGAAUCUAAUGUGCGCGUGAGAUUGCGAGAGUGUAGAAGUUUAAGGAGUAAACAUGAGUCAUUUAGAGUUAUUCGUUUGGAUAGCAAGCCAUUGUUUGAGGUUGUGCUUGCCUGGUGCGCGUUGUAUGAGUCAAAAGUGAACCCCUUGAAGGCGUAUUACGAGUUUUAGUGUGUAAGUGAGAUUUCCUUGUAAGUCUGAUUGUUUGUAUAUUUGAUGUUUGAUGACUGAAUAAAAAUUACAUGACUGCCAAAAUAUCAUCUUGUCUGUUUAUUUUAUCCUAUGGGAACUGUUAAAUUAUUUCGUAAGCUACGAAAUAAGAGUUUGUAUUACGGUCCUUUCUGUAAUCUAUGAACAAGGCGAAAUAAACACAACAUUGAAAUGUUUAAGUGAAUAGGAAUUGGAAAAGUUCGUAUCAGAGCGAAUUUCUUCUUCGGUUGUUGAGACCUUGUCGUUGUAAUAACGAGCGGGUAUUUUCAGUUCAUUUUAGACUACGUAUUAUUUGUUGAGAAAUAAAGAGUAUCAUAUUUUUGUAUGAAAAGGUAAAUAAAUGCGGAAAACGA